CUCUUGAUACCAUUUAUGCA
rnacentral:snRNA from 1 species